rnacentral:rRNA from 1 species
AGAGUUUGAUCAUGGCUCAGAACGUACGCUGGCGGCACGCCUAACACAUGCAAGUCGAACGAAGUAGCAAUACUUAGUGGCAGACGGGUGAGUAACAUGUAGGUAUCUGCCCUUUGGCCUGGAAUAACACGAGGAAACUUGUGCUAAUACCGGAUAAGUCUUUACGGAGAAAGCUUUAUGCACCAUUGGAUGAGCCUGCACUUGAUUAGUUUGUUGGUGGGGUAAUGGCCUACCAAGACUGUGAUCAAUAGCUGAUUUGAGAGGAUGAUCAGCCACAUUGGGACUGAGACACGGCCCAAACUCCUACGGGAGGCAGCAGUGGGGAAUCUUGCACAAUGGAGGAAACUCUGAUGCAGCGAUGCCGCGUGAGUGAAGAAGGCCUUUGGGUUGUAAAGCUCUUUCGUCGGGGAAGAAAAUGACUGUACCCGAAUAAGAAGGUCCGGCUAACUUCGUGCCAGCAGCCGCGGUAAUACGAAGGGACCUAGCGUAGUUCGGAAUUACUGGGCUUAAAGAGUUCGUAGGUGGUUGAAAAAGUUGGUGGUGAAAUCCCAGAGCUUAACUCUGGAACUGCCAUCAAAACUUUUCAGCUAGAGUAUGAUAGAGGAAAGCAGAAUUUCUAGUGUAGAGGUGAAAUUCGUAGAUAUUAGAAAGAAUACCAAUUGCGAAGGCAGCUUUCUGGAUCAUUACUGACACUGAGGAACGAAAGCAUGGGUAGCGAAGAGGAUUAGAUACCCUCGUAGUCCAUGCCGUAAACGAUGUGUGUUAGACGUUGGAAAUUUAUUUUCAGUGUCGCAGCGAAAGCGAUAAACACACCGCCUGGGGAGUACGACCGCAAGGUUAAAACUCAAAUGAAUUGACGGGGACCCGCACAAGUAGUGGAGCAUGUGGUUUAAUUCGAAGAUACGCGCAGAACCUUACCAACACUUGACAUGUUCGUCGCGACUUUAAGAGAUUAAAGUUUUCGGUUCGGCCGGACGAAACACAGGUGCUGCAUGGCUGUCGUCAGCUCGUGUCGUGAGAUGUUGGGUUAAGUCCCGCAACGAGCGCAACCCUCACUUUUAGUUGCCAUCAUUAAGUUGGGCACUCUGAAAGAACUGCCAGUGAUAAGCUGGAGGAAGGUGGGGAUGACGUCAAGUCCUCAUGGCCCUUACGUGUUGGGCUACACACGUGCUACAAUGGUAUCUACAACAGGAAGCAAAACGGCGACGUUAAGCAAAUCCUUAAAAGAUACCUCAGUUCGGAUUGCACUCUGCAACUCGAGUGCAUGAAGCUGGAAUUACUAGUAAUCGUGGAUCAGCGUGCCACGGUGAAUGCGUUCCCGGGUCUUGUACACACCGCCCGUCACACCAUGGGAGUUGGUUCUACCUUAAGGCAAGGUUUAAAACCCUUGACCACGGUAUAGUCAGCGACUGGGGUGAAGUCAUAACAAGGUAGCCGUA